UACAGCGAAAUGCUGAAAUUCUCUCGGAAAUUGACAACGAACAAGCAUUGUGAUGGGGCAUAUUUAAUAAAAGAGAAAAACCGCCAGAAUGUUAUCAUUAUAAAUUCCCAUUGCUCUUAACACUUAUUUUGGAGAGCCAUAGCCAUGUGGUCUACAGCAUGCCUCGGAUCAAUCACACCGUAUUCCAUGAUCAGCCAACAACACGCUACUGAAUCCCGUGUUUUUCCUGUAAAUUCCACUGGAUCUUGCGUUUGUCCCCAAAGCAUGCAGUCUUCUCCCGCUCAUUUAGCUCUGCAGCAAAUCCUCGCUAAACAAAAGGGCUGCGUGGCGCGCUUUCUCUUCCAGCAAAAUGGCGUUCAGACUUUAACAGACACAACCAAUAGGUUAAAUUUAAAAUAAAAAAAACCUCUGAACGGCGCCGAAUAACGAGCGGGUGCUUUGAGUGUGCGGCGUACAGUGGAUUAAAAACAGCCUCUACCUCACCGUGGAAACCAUUCAUUUUCCACAAUAGAUCCUAAAUACAAAUCAAUAAAUCCUGGAAACACCAACCCAGCGGGUAGCACUAUUAGCAUUUUAUCAAAUGGUGGUCUCCCUCUUAAAGGACACCUCCACUCCUUAAAAAGAUAACAAAGCUACGCCAAAUGCAAUUCCUCCAGGAGUUAAACCGGCAGGAUGAAUGAUUAUAUCCCGACUGAACUGAACGAUUCCAUACAAAGGCAUUGAAUUUACCGCAGUCCCUCCCCCCAGCCCCGGGAAUCACAGAAAACCAGUUUCUACAAUACUAUGAUUACAAACUGAAUCCCGUUACCUAUCCCCAUUAUCUGUCCCCACAGCAGUCCAAUUGUAAUGGGAAAUCCACGGCCCCAACACCUCUCCACCCCUAAAAAGUUGUAAGGAAAAUCGUCCCUCGAAAACAAUCCCUACAGCUUUUCCACCCCAUGUUAACGGAAGAUGCAAGUAGAUCGCACCAGUCCCUGCAGAGUUUGCAAAACUGCACUGAACACGACCCACUACUCCGAAAACAAAGUCGUGGAGGGCCAAGCAUGCAAUUCCCGACACGUCCAUAGAAACUGCGAGGGUCGCCCCGCCGAGUCGAUGCUGCGGGUCACGCCGAUGGCUGCGGGCCAAGACGACCCGCGGGUGGAGUGGAGUGGAGUGGAGUGGCGUCGGAGCCCGGGAAUAGAAGGUAGCGGCGGUGUGGGGAGAAGUGUAUCUAAAGUAACAAAAGAGGACAAGAUUUCAGGAGGUCAUGCAGACAGAUGAGAGAAAGAAACCAGAUAGACAGGUGAGUUAGUCCUGACGAAGGGUCUCGGCCUGAAACGUCGACUGCGCCUCUUCCUAGAGAUGCUGCUUGGCCUGCUGCGUUCACCAGCAACUUUGAUGUGUGUUGCUAGACAGGUACAAGGCAUCUCCUGGCUCAGUAACCAGCAGCUCCACCCUUCCUUCCACAACCAUGAAUGCCAAGUCCCCACCCUUGAGCGUAUUCACAAGAAGCACUGCUGCAGGAAAGCAGCAUCCAUCAUCAAGGACCGUUAACCAUCCAGGUCACGCUCUCUUCUUGAUGCUGCCAUCAGGAAGGAGGUACAGGAGCCUUAGGUCCCACACCACCAGGUUCAGGAACAGUUAUUAACCUACAUACAACCAUCAGGCUCCUGAAUUGGUGUGGAUAACUUCACUCAUUUCAACUCUGAAUUGAUUCCCCAACCUACAGACUCACUUUCAAGGACUCUACGAGUCAUGUUCUCGGUGUUUUUUUUAUUUGCAAAAUGCAUCUUCUUUCGCACAUUGGUUAGUUGUUAGUCUUUGUUUAUGUAAAGAUUUUCAUAAAUUCUGCAGUAUUUCUUCAUUUUCCUGUAAGUGCUUGCAAGAAAAUGAAUCUCAAGGUAGUAUCUGGUGACAUAUAUGCACUUUGAUAAUAGAUUUACUUUGAUUUUGACUCUUUAAUUUGUGUUUUCUUUUCACAGUUCUGAUGAGGUUGCAGUCUUUGCUGUUUCUCUCACUUGCCUGACCUGCUGAGUGUUUUCAGCAUUUUCUGUUUUUUAUUUAAUCAGUUAAUUGUUUAGUUUGUUUAUUGUGUAAUUAGAACAGAACAAAUCCCUCCUGGGAUAAAGUGAUGUUGGAUUAGGAAAAACUGAGCAGCAAUGGUUUUACAGCAGAAUGUAGGGUCACCUAAUCAACACACACAUGAACUGUAAAGGGAGCUUGAGAGGUUUGAUUCUGUAAGGAUGUUUUCCCAUGGGAAAGUUUAGCAAUAAGGGGCACAUUAUAGUAGGAUGAGGGGUCUUCUUUUUUAAAAUGAAAAAGGGAAUUUGUUUUCUUCUUUGAUAGUGGGGCAAAUCUUGGGAAUUAUUCACCCUGGAUAACUGUGGAUGCUGAGUCAUUCAAGGAUGAUUUGACAGAGAAAUGAGGGAGGAAGCAGCUGGCUAAAAGGACGUCUAGCUGUAGGGUGAUUCAGGUGGAAGCAGAUAGUCAGUGCUUGUCCAAAGAACAGUCAAACCUAGGUAUUGAUAGACAGGGUUUCAGUGUUUUAUUAUUUAAAUUAAUAAAGCUUGGAUGAAUUGCAGGAUCCUGUGGUGAGCUCCAUGUAUCUGCAAUCGAUCUUUCUCUUUCUCCUUGUCUCUCUCAUAUACACACACAAAGAAGUGUCACAUAUAAGACAUAUCAUACAGACAUUACAAAUGUUCACUUUGCUUCACGUAACAGGAAAUUAAUUUGUGUCCUACUAUCAAUGCUUUUUCCUCUGUUAGAAACUGCUGGGAUGAAAGUCUGUAAGGAUCACUAUCAUGCCCCAGCCGUUUAUUAAUUGAUGUAUCAUUACUAUUAAUUAAAAAGUUGUGUUUCAAAGAAUUACAUAUUUAUAUAUUUUUAUAUUUUGCAGAAGGUUGAAACAACUUUUAAAGUUUUAGUAUCUAUUUGUUUCCCUACAGCCAUAUAACAGUCUCUGAUGCUGGGGAUGAUUGUUGCCAAAAGAAUUAUUUUGAGGGAAUGGAAAUCACCCUGUCCCCCUUCCUUUCGGAGAUGGAUGGCUGAUAUGAUCUCAGUCACACAGAUGGAGAAACUUGGGUUCUUGAGAACCAAUUCAAUUAAAACAUUUUUGUCUAUCUGGGAUCCAUUUCUUGCCUACCUGGAUGAGGCCAGAAUGAGAAAUUUCCCCCCAGCUGAUUUCUCGCAGCCCUCAUUUGAGAUUUAAUGUUUAGUAUUUUUGAGCACUUUGUACAAUAGGCAUCCCUCUAAUGUUAUGUCCCUUCUUUUUUGCUUAUUUCCUUUUUACACAUGUCUGAGCUGGUAUG